AGUGAACGCUGGCGGUAGGCCUAACACAUGCAAGUCGAACGGCAGCACAGUAAGAGCUUGCUCUUACGGGUGGCGAGUGGCGGACGGGUGAGGAAUACAUCGGAAUCUACUUUUUCGUGGGGGAUAACGUAGGGAAACUUACGAUAAUACCGCAUACGACCUACGGGUGAAAGCAGGGGAUCUUCGGACCUUGCGCGAUUGAAUGAGCCGAUGUCGGAUUAGCUAGUUGGCGGGGUAAAGGCCCACCAAGGCGACGAUCCGUAGCUGGUCUGAGAGGAUGAUCAGCCACACUGGAACUGAGACACGGUCCAGACUCCUACGGGAGGCAGCAGUGGGGAAUAUUGGACAAUGGGCGCAAGCCUGAUCCAGCCAUACCGCGUGGGUGAAGAAGGCCUUCGGGUUGUAAAGCCCUUUUGUUGGGAAAGAAAAGCAGCAGAUGAAUACCCCGCUGUUCUGACGGUACCCAAAGAAUAAGCACCGGCUAACUUCGUG
rnacentral:rRNA from 1 species